GAACCUCCGAUUUAGCGCCAAAACACCGUUACCAUAGUAUCCACAUAACGAACAAACUUUCGAUACUGGAAUUAUGAAAGGGUCGAAGGGCAAGACUCGUUUUACUUUCAAUACAUGGACAUUUGACAAAACAAGGACACGUAAAGACUGAUAAAACAUUUCAAAAUGGACCAAUGGAGACCAGAACGAUGCUGCCUGCCUAGCCUUGUUGUUUGAUCAGGUUAUACGUGUCCUGGGCCCGGAUAUGUGUGUGAACAGAGCUUCUGCAGUGACUUCACCAGAAAAAGAGGAGCAUGUGGACGACUGCACUGAGCUGUGUGAAACCAUCAUGCAGGAAUCCGAGUCAGAGGAGGAAGUGAGAGAGGGACCAUCGGUCACCGCAAUGAUGGACGAUUCCUGCCCAAAGAGCUGCAAGCAAAGCAGAGCAGUGCCAAGGAAGACCAGAUAAUCAAUGUCAAACGACUGUGCUCCACAUCUCAAGAGGACAUCAAGAAAGUCAAGCUUUUCUAUGACUGGGUCGCCUCAUUGGUAAGCACAGCGAACACAAACCGGCCAUGACCAUAAAGAAGGUGAGGAGGACUGCGUACAUAAAACACAGGACGUAGGGGUUUUGAGGGUGUUGCAGCACCCCCUGAAAAAUCUAUUUUUUUCCUUCACUGAAGAGGAGCGAGACAAUUGAUCAAGGCCAGAUGCAGCAGGCUCUGCUUCAACACGGAAAGGGAAAUUGGUCCUUCAGGCAUGUUUCAAUAGGCAUUAUGUAGGUCAGUUUCACAAUAGUACACAAGAAUUAGACACUAUGCUGGUAAAAAAGAAAAGUGGAUCUUAAUCUGGAAACUCGUGAAAAAUUAUGUUUAGAAAACAUUGCCUGUCUGUCAAUGCAUGUACAUCACAGAUCAUCCUCAGUUACCUUGAAUAAAUGACAUUUUAUGAAUAACUAGAGAUGCUAGCCUGUUUAUCCUUCUGUCAUCAUAUUUAGUGCCAAUCUUGUGGUGUUGAAAGUAACAUGCCAUGGACAUUGGCAAUUUGAAUUAAUAAUAAAAAGACAA